UUGAAACUAAUGCGAUGAAGAGUUAAAUGGAUUUUCAUUCUAUGCAAACACAAACACAACACACACCAAAACUAAUUUUCAUGAAGUUAAACUAUAUAAAAUUGGGUUCAUUGUAUUGUGCAUGUGGUGUGUAUUCAUUUACUUCGUAUUUGGAUUUAUAUAUCUUCCAUCUUUAUAAAUUAUCAACACAUCCAAGCCUAAUGCAAGCCUAAUUCACUGACCCUAAUUCACCCAAACCUAAUAAUCCAUUUUUCCAAACCUUUUUCCAAACCUAAUUCUAACCCUAUAAUACAAAACCUAAUUCUAACCCUACUCACCUUCUUUGACAGAUCAGAUGAGAAGACUGCAAAUUUCAGUGUCAGAGAUCUUCACAUUCCUUUCAUGCAAUCUUCCAUAUGUCCCCUCUUAUUAAAAAUUAAAAAUCUAAAAAUUCUAUUUAUGAUCAGAAGACCUGUAAAUUCCUUUCAUGCUAUCUUCCAAGUGUCUUCUAUGGAAGAUUUCUCCCUGUAUCUUCCAUGCAACAUUCCAUGUGUCCAACAUACUAUAUUCAUGUUUCUCUAUAAAUACCACCAAUCUACCCAUCUCUCACCAACAAAUCAACCAUCAUCUCUCUUGACACAAAGAUGAUUAACUCAGGGUGGCUCAAUUCAUGCAACUGUUAGGAAAAAUUUGAUCUCCCAAUUUAAGGAUCAACUUGAAGAAGGAUGUGCUUAUGUUUUUGAAAAAUUUAUGGUUGCUUGAAACCAAUGACAAGAGAAAAAAGAAUCUUCCAUAUUUUUUGAACAUAUUGGAUUAGCAUGAAAUCAAUGAAAAGAGAGUCAUGCAUACUUUCCAAGAUGGAAACCUAUGUGUUUGAGUUUCA